rnacentral:rRNA from 1 species
UACGGAGGAUGCGAGCGUUAUCCGGAUUUAUUGGGUUUAAAGGGUGCGUAGGCGGACUGCCAAGUCAGCGGUAAAAUUGCGGGGCUCAACCCCGUCGAGCCGUUGAAACUGGUGGUCUUGAGUGGGCGAGAAGUACGCGGAAUGUGUGGUGUAGCGGUGAAAUGCAUAGAUAUCACGCAGAACUCCGAUUGCGAAGGCAGCGUACCGGCGCCCUACUGACGCUGAAGCACGAAAGCGUGGGUAUCGAACAGG